rnacentral:rRNA from 1 species
AUUGAACGCUGGCGGCAGGCCUAACACAUGCAAGUCGAGCGAGCGGCGGACGGGUGAGUAAUGUCUGGGAAACUGCCUGAUGGAGGGGGAUAACUACUGAAAACGGUAGCUAAUACCGCAUACCACCGCAUAGCCCACGAUGGGAUUGGCUAUUAGGUGUGGUAAAGGCUCACCUAGGCAACGAUCCCCAGCUGGUCUGAGAGGAUGACCAGCCACACUGGAAAUGAGACACGGUCCAGACUCCUACGGGGGGCAGCAGUGGGGAAUAUUGCACAAUGGGCGCAAGCCUGAUGCAGCCAUGCCGCGUGUAUGAAGAAGGCCUUCGGGUUGUAAAGUACUUUCAGCGGGGAGGCGUUGCCCGCAGAAGAAGCACCGGCUAACGCCGUGCCAGCGGCCGCGGUAAUAC